rnacentral:rRNA from 1 species
CCUCAUGCAGUAUUUUAUGUCCGGGUGACUAUUAGGGCGAUUGAAUUUAGCGGCCGCGAAUUCGCCCUUAGAGUUUGAUCCUGGCUGAGGAUGAACGCUAGCGGCAGGCCUAACACGUGCAAGUCGAGGGGUAGCAGGAAAAAGCUUGCUUUUUCGCUGACGACCGGCGCACGGGUGCGUAACACGUAUGCAACCUACCUUGAUCAGGGGAAUAGCCCAGAGAAAUCUGGAUUAAUACCCCAUAAUAUAAUUCAUUCGCAUGUUUGAAUUAUUAAAGUUUCGGCGGAUCAAGAUGGGCAUGCGGCCUAUUAGUUUGUUGGUGAGGUAACGGCUCACCAAGACUACGAUAGGUAGGGGUUCUGAGAGGAUGAUCCCCCACACUGGUACUGAGACACGGACCAGACUCCUACGGGAGGCAGCAGUGAGGAAUAUUGCGCAAUGGACGAAAGUCUGACGCAGCCAUGCCGCGUGCAGGAUGAAUGCCCUAUGGGUUGUAGACUGCUUUUAUAUACCAAGAAACCCUCGGACGUGUCCGAGGCUGACGGUAGUAUAUGAAUAAGGACCGGCUAACUCCGUGCCAGCAGCCGCGGUAAUACGGAGGGUCCAAGCGUUAUCCGGAUUUAUUGGGUUUAAAGGGUUCGUAGGCGGGGUAUUAAGUCAGUGGUGAAAGCCCACAGCUCAACUGUGGAACUGCCAUUGAUACUGGUACUCUUGAGUAUAGUAGAAGUUAGCGGAAUGUGUCAUGUAGCGGUGAAAUGCUUAGAUAUGACCCAGAACACCGAUUGCGAAAGCAGCUAACUAUGUUAUUACUGACGCUGAGGAACGAAAGCGUGGGGAGCGAACAGGAUUAGAUACCCUGGUAGUCCACGCCGUAAACGAUGAUUACUCGAUAUUGGCUUCGGUCAGUGUCCAAGCGAAAGUGAUAGUAAUCCACCUGGGGAGUACGCUCGCAGAGUGAAACUCAAAGGAAUUGACGGGGCCCGCACAGCGGUGAGCAUGUGUUUAUCGAUGAUACGCGAGAUCUUACAGUUUAAUGUAGACGAUCGAUGUGAACACAUCUUCUUCGACGUCUACAGUGCUGCAUGUGUCGUCAGCUCGUGGCUGUGAAUGUCGGUAAUCCAUAACGAGGCCAACCCAUAUCUUUAGUUGGCAGCGCGGAUCGUCGCGGGAAUCUUAAGAACUGCCGGCGUAACCGCAGGAAAGAUGUAUGAACUCAAUCUCGGCCUUAACUUGGCUAACACCGGCUCAAAUGGCAGGACACACUGAGAUAUUUAUCGUGGGACAUGU